AGUGAACGCUGGCGGUAGGCCUAACACAUGCAAGUCGAACGGCAGCACAGUAAGAGCUUGCUCUUACGGGUGGCGAGUGGCGGACGGGUGAGGAAUACAUCGGAAUCUACUUUUUCGUGGGGGAUAACGUAGGGAAACUUACGCUAAUACCGCAUACGACCUACGGGUGAAAGCAGGGGAUCUUCGGACCUCGCGCGAUUGAAUGAGCCGAUGUCGGAUUAGCUAGUUGGCGGGGUAAAGGCCCACCAAGGCGACGAUCCGUAGCUGGUCUGAGAGGAUGAUCAGCCACACUUGAACUGAGACACGGUCCAGACUCCUACGGGAGGCAGCAGUGGGGAAUAUUGGACAAUGGGCGCAAGCCUGAUCCAGCCAUACCGCGUGGGUGAAGAAGGCCUUCGGGUUGUAAAGCCCUUUUGUUGGGAAAGAAAAGCAGCAGGUUAAUACCCCGCUGUUCUGACGGUACCCAAAGAAUAAGCACCGGCUAACUUCGUG
rnacentral:rRNA from 1 species